GUUAGGAAUAUUGGACAAUGGGCGAAAGCCUGAUCCAGCGACGCCGCGUGGGUGAUGAAGGCCUUCGGGUCGUAAAACCCUUUUCUGGGGGAAGAGCAAGGACGGUACCCCAGGAAUAAGUCUCGGCUAACUACGUGCCAGCAGCCGCGGUAAAACGUAGGAGACGAGCGUUAUCCGGAUUUACUGGGCGUAAAGCGCACGCAGGUGGCCUCGUAAGUCGGGCGUGAAAUCUUCUGGCUCAACUGGAAGGGGUCGUCUGAUACUGCAAGGCUUGAGGGCGGGAGAGGGAAGUGGAAUUCCCGGUGUAGCGGUGAAAUGCGCAGAUAUCGGGAGGAACACCAGUGGCGAAAGCGGCUUCCUGGCCCGUUCCUGACGCUCAGGUGCGAAAGCGUGGGGAGCGAACGGGAUUAGAUACCCCGGUAGUCC
rnacentral:rRNA from 1 species